rnacentral:lncRNA from 1 species
AUGACAGCUCCAGAGAGUCCUCAGGAACCCACAAACCUGUCUUUCUGCUCUGCCAUAGUUAGAGGUUGCCAUCCUCGAUGUCACAAAAGAGCCACUGGAGUGCCAGCCAUCGCAUACCCAGUCCCAGGCGGGACGGAAAAGGAAAAAAAUAAAAGCAGCACCCAGAAGCUCUUUCGGAGUUUUAUUGGAAAUCCUGCCCAACCGCUUCUGCUUGGAUGUCACUGGCCAUCCCGUUUGCCAGGAAGUGGGAAACGUAGUCUUUCAGCUGCUCAUCUGGUCACCUCGAGAGGAGGGGAGGUUGGAUUUGGGCAGGCAACGUGCAGCUUCUUGCUCAACUUCCUACCCGAGUUUUCUUCUGCCUUAUUUGGGAUCGUGAGCAACACGGAACUCUCCAGGGCCAGGAACUGCUGGAAGCAAGUGAAUCGAUUUCUGAAACAAAGCGCUUUACACAGGCUUUGCGGGUGUCACAGAUUCUCCUCCUUCCUAGAGCCACGCAGCUCCCCCGGGGAAGGGGACCGGGGCACAGCCUCUCCUGGGGAACUGCAGGUAAACAACAGAGCCCAUGAACCGCAGGCGCUCUCUGAGGUCACCGACAAGGAAGGUUCUGUUAUGCGGUCACAUCAAGUGGCUCAGGCUCAGUGGGGGGAGACUUACGCCUGCGUGUUCGGCUGGUUCUGGAAGCAGCCUCCAGCUAAGUAUUUGUGUGAGUGGUUUAUUCAGGAGAAGCCCCAGCCUCAGCCUGCUGCUUCAAGUGGCUUGGGCAUACACUCCAUCUCAGGGGAAGUAGGUGGCACCCAGGCUUUCAGACUUCCCGCUCUUGUCAGCCAGGAGCUGAGGGCCCCCGGGGCACCCCAGGCUCAGCACCUCUGCUCCAGGAGCCCAGACAUCUGAAUAUGGAGCCUUUUUAGGAAGAAGAGUGACAGGCGGGGGUGGUUCUGUUUCGGAAGCCUGCCUUCCCGGGCUCCCCCGCUCAGCUGGCCGCCUGCAGGAUGAAUCUGCGGCAGAUCUGAGCUGCUUUCCCGGCUCUGGGUCUGGCAUGCACGUUGCAAGCACAGGCCACACUGCUGAUGCCGCGGUGCCUGCUGGAUCUCCGACAGGGGCACCCACGCUUCCAGGGGCCUGAAGAAACAGGCACUGGGAGGACAGAGCCUCCCACCUGCACUUGCACACAAAUGUUCAAAGCAGCGUGAUUCACAGGAGCCAGACGGUGGAAGCAACCAAGUGUCCAUCCACAGAUGAGGAGAAAUGGGGUCCACACCAGCAAUGGGAGGUUGGGCGGCUGUCAAAAGACAGGAAAUUCAGACACACACACACACACACACACACACACGCUACGACGCGGAUGAAGCUGAAGACAUUGUGCUGAGCGCGAUAAGCCAGAAGCGAAAGGACAAACACUGCAUGAUGCCCCCUCUGAGACACCCAGAGGUCCCAUCCAUGGGGACAGGAGGAAGCCCGGUGGACAGGGGCUGUGCGGGGCGGGGGGGAUGCGGGCUUAAGGGGGCCGAGUUCCGCUUUGGGAAGACGACACAGCUCUGGAGGUGACGGUGCCAAAGGUCGCCCAACACCCUGCACACCUAAUGCCCCCAAAGUGAACCCUGAAAAACGUUAACACGGCGAAGUCUGUGUUCUGCGUGCUGUAUCACAACGAAAAAAACGGAAACAACAAGCCCCCAAAUAAACACCAAAAUCACCCGGGGUUUCGGGGCUGUCAGUCCUCCCUGGGGGCGGAGCCUCCCCCGCUCCGCGAACUCCAGCGUUUCCUACGGGAAAUCGGGAAACCGAGGCAGGGAGAGGCGUCGGCGCGGGGGCGGCGGGCGCCAGGCUUCAGUCUCGCCGCCCGGUCUUUGC